GACGAACGCUGGCGGCGUGCUUAACACAUGCAAGUCGAACGGAAAGGCCCUGCUUUUGUGGGGUGCUCGAGUGGCGAACGGGUGAGUAACACGUGAGUAACCUGCCCUUGACUUUGGGAUAACUUCAGGAAACUGGGGCUAAUACCGGAUAGGAGCUCCUGCUGCAUGGUGGGGGUUGGAAAGUUUCGGCGGUUGGGGAUGGACUCGCGGCUUAUCAGCUUGUUGGUGGGGUAGUGGCUUACCAAGGCUUUGACGGGUAGCCGGCCUGAGAGGGUGACCGGCCACCUUGGGACUGAGAUACUGCCCAGACUCCUACGGGAGGCAGCAGUGGGGAAUAUUGCACAAUGGGCGGAAGCCUGAUGCAGCAACGCCGCGUGCGGGAUGACGGCCUUCGGGUUGUAAACCGCUUUCGCCUGUGACGAAGCGUGAGUGACGGUAAUGGGUAAAGAAGCACCGGCUAACUACGUG
rnacentral:rRNA from 1 species